rnacentral:tRNA from 1 species
GCGCCUGUAGCUCAGUUGGAUAGAGCAGUGGACUUCGAAUCCAAAGGUCGGAGGUUCGAAUCCUCCCAGGCGCGCCA